rnacentral:misc_RNA from 1 species
AAUGCAGGGCUAUUGUAGACUCUUAGUAUUUUUAAAUAAGCAAUGGCCCUAGCAUCUGAAGAUUUCUAAAUCCCCAGAAAGCAAAACCCCUUAAAAGGCAAAAAUUAGUCAUCGCAGAAUCGUCUCUUUUCUUCUGCUUUCCUACUUAUUCUAAUCCCAACUUCUUGGGUAGGCAAAGUUAGAUGGUAACGGGUAAGUAGUGAUAGGUCCACACCACUUAUUGCAAAGGC